UCUUACUGAAUGUGGGGAGAAACCUUAUAAUGGUUAUUUAUAUUGAUACGGCAGCAGUGUUAAAAUUAAUGAUUUCACCACAAAGAUCAUGAGUAAAACAUGAGACCUCUGUGAUGCCUUAAAACGCCAGAUUUGAAUUUAGCCUUGUGUUUUACCGCUGGUCCAUUUCAGCAGGUGAAUUCGGUUAAGUGUUUUACCAUCUCUGUCUGCUUUUUACUGCUCAGGAGGAGGAUGCACAGGUGUUUGACCUGAAGCACGCUCAGGAUGGAUGAGGAGAUGGGGGAGGUGUCAUUAUGACUACAGUGAAGGUGGUUGUUGUCCCUUGCCAGAGAAACCCGCCGGACCGAACCGAGCCUCGGCUGUGCUGACACAGCUGGUUCCAGGCACAGACACCCCGACACCGAGCUCGGCUCCAGGAAUGUUCCAGGCCUUGCUGGAGAAACCAUAACAAGUGCAGGAAAUAGAUUAGUGCACUCUGGGUUCCACACCGGCCGCAAACCUCCUGAGCCCAGCCUCUCCAAACCCACAUGUGUGGGAACAGGAGACGCAGCAGCGGAGGGAGUAAGAAGACCCCCACCCAGACAUCAGAGCAGAUCCCAGAGGGACCUGCUGCACGAAGCAAUCAGGCCUCCCCCAACUCCUACCUGAAGUCCUCAAGACACCAACAUACAGUAAAACCACCCAGCAAUGGUUCCUGGUUUGAGUUGGUCCAAGGGCAACUGUUGACUGCCAGUGUCCAAUGAUUAUACCAGCUCUAGAAGGGCUGUAAGAGUUCAGCCAAAGCUCAGGAAUCCAAGGAAUUGGAGGAGAUCCUCGUAAACAACUUGAGUCCUGGAAGAUGAACCCAACAAUCAGACAACAACCCUGACUCAUAUCACUGAAAGGACCACAGUGUUUUUGUAUGUCUGGAGUCCAUUUUUCAUGUUAUCUCUGGUCAUUGGUGGACUUGUCUCAUAGUGCGACCCAGGACGACUGGUUUUGUCAACUUUCAGCCCCAAAAUCGCUGCGUAUGAGUCAUUAAUCACAGUGAACAUUUAGUCACCUUUAUAUUUUUUGGUCAAAGUUACAUCUUCCUGUGGUUGUCCAUUUGCAAAACGCUUCCUCUGUGGUGUGUUCAAGUGUUCCAGUUGUGUGAAAUUAUGAGACAAAUAUGAACUUAUAACACAAGAAAAUACCAAUUCUUGAUCUUGCCUCUAAAUUAUUGUCUGUUUUGAUGAAUUCUUAUGUUUUUAUUGACUGUCUUCCACAUUUUAUCUGUUGAAAGCACAGCUGAAAAAUGUGAUGAGGUUCAACAGCUGACUCCAGUAUUGGAUGUCAGAUGAGCUGUGAAUGCAUCAAAACAGUUUUAAAAACAGUCUCGGUCUCCUUUCGCAUCACUACACAAUAAUUAUGAGACUCUGGUAAAGGUGACUAAAUGGUCACAAUGAUGGAUUAUUUGGUUGUGUUUCAAGCCUCUGCGGGAUGGUUUUUAUUGUGUACUGGAGUGAAGAGAACAACUGGACUGGAAAAACUUCUGAAGCACUUUAGAAAAGGGUCAUCAGUGAUGGAAGUGAAAGUAUGUGAUUUGUACAAACAUCGGUAAGAAAAACAAACAGCGAACUGUUUCUUAUC